rnacentral:lncRNA from 1 species
CCUGCUUCACAAGACUCUCAUAAGGCUCCAAGGAGACUGCCCCAGGCGGGAGCUUGAGGACCCCCCUUAGGGUCGUGAGCAGUGAAAGCCCAAAUGCUGUGUCUGGCACUGCUCAUCAUAGUCCUCUAUCCAGCCCUCCCACCCUGCCUAUUCUUUCUCCUGCCUCCAGGACACCACGUCUCCCCUUUCUAGUAAGUAGCGUUGAUCUCAUUAGCAGUUACAACAGUUCUCUGCAUCUCAGAGCAUGGACUUUAAAACCAGAUAGGUGUGGCUUGAGUCUUGCCUCUAUCACAUGUAGUCCCUAGGGCUUCGGACCAUUUCACUUCCCUGAGCUGAUUUUGCAGCUGAGUCAAGGGGAUAACAAUGCUGACCUCACAACAUAGUAGGGAGCGCUAAAUGGGACAGUGCCUGUGAGACACCGAAUUCAAACCCUAGCACAUAAUAGGCACAUACUCAUUUGAGGGCUUCUGCUCCCAUCCUUCUCUCCGGAACUCAUGGUCAGGAAAACUCAGCGGUCUAUAUGGCGCUCACUCAACCAGUAAAGUUGCCAUAGGGUUCCAUUGCUAUCUUAUACACCUCCCACAUUCUGCCCCAAUUCCAUCGUCAAGCCUCAGCUCAGCCCACCAAGGGCACUAGCAUCAUGACCAUUCACACAAGAGCAAGGCUUACCUUCUUGAAAUAGUCAGCAAGGCUGUCGGGGUCCCAGCCCAGGACCUCUGAGCGAAAGGGCACAUUCCUCAGUGCCAUGGCUGCUCUCCCGGGAAGAAGCUCACAAGCUGAGCAUGGGCGCUUCACCCAUGGGCAGAGAAGCUCAAAUCCAGAGCUCGGAGGCGUUCUUGGCUCUUCCAACUCCCAGCUACCCUGUGGAACACCCCUGUUGGAGCCGAUGUCUUUUCUGGCGUAGCCAGAUCCCAGAAAGCAACGGCUUCCUCUGCGAACAAAUAUGGUCUCUUCUCAGAAAACGACUCAGCUAGUUUCCUUUACCACUUCCUCUGCUGGGCUCUAAAUAAGUAAACAAGGAAGCCCAGCUCUGGAGGCUUGAGAUGCAGAGAGAGCCACAGGGUUGGUAAUUCCCCACUGGCUCCAGUCACCCCAACCCAGUAGGAGAGGCAAUGAAGGGGUCUUAAACUCCAAUGUGAGUCUGAGUAAUUUUCCUUUAAACUCUGGGCACCCAUAUGUCUACACUGCAUUCUUGCUCAGCUGGGGCUUUGCAGACCAAAAUCUAUCCUGACGGUUGACCUGAAAUACAGACAAUUUCCCACAUCAGUGAACUGCUGGAGCAUGUUUUUUUAAUGCUUUCCAACCACUUUCCCCUCCCACCAUCAAAGACUGGGAUUCUUUCAGCUGCCUCUUUACAGUUGUCAUGAGAGGGUCCUCAAGGAGUGAGUGAGUCAGGCACCCAGGGCUGAACAAGGUGCUACACUGUGCAGACAGGGCUCAGUUUCUGAUAUGACUAUUUCUGUGCUAUGCAACCUUAGGCAAGGAGUUAAAAGCUGGGAAUCUCAGUUUCCAAAUCUGUAUAAUAGGAAAACAGUGAUUCUUCAUAUGCACAUAAAACUUAGAUGCAUUCAACUAGACAAACCUAAAAAGAAAAAUUAAAAAGAAAAAAAACUUAACAAUUGCUAUUGGUAGUGUCAUAUAUUCCAUUCACUAUUGUUUCCACAAUAUAUUUUAUUCACUAUUGAUUCUGCCAUAUAUUCUAGCCAAAGAGCACAUUCCCUGGAGAUAGGAGGUGAGAAUUUGCUGUUUUCUUAGUUUCAGACAUUGUUCAUUUCUCAUAACUGAACAACUUAUUGGCAGAGGGUGAGUCCAGUGUAUAAAAGCAACUAUAUUUGUGCAAUAAGGCAACCUCUAAACACAAGUUACUACUUCAUCUAAUGCCACACACACACACACACACACACACACACACACACGAGUCAUCUGUUCCAAGGCUGUUGCCUUUACUAAGUGAUGCUAUGUUGGUCCUUGAGGUGGUGCCUUCCUGAGGGUUUUCAAGCAUAGCUUUGGCCAUGCACAGUUUUCUUCUUAUACACACUCUGAGGAGCCCCGCCGUCACGGUAAUGCACCUGCCUCACAAGCUGGUGGGCAGCUUAAAUGAAAUACACAUUUUGCUCCAGGCCCAGCACUAGCUCAUCAAUGUGAGCUGGUGUUAGCCUCACCUUAGAAGGUGCUGAGGGCAUCAGUGAAGGUAGCCCAGGCCAUUUGCUCCUUGCAGGGCCUCACACCUAAGAACUCUUUUCUUUUCUCUCUUUCUUUCUUUCUUUCUUUUUUUUUUUUUUUUUUUAUUGAGACGGAGUUU